rnacentral:rRNA from 1 species
GGUGAAAUGCGUAGAUAUCGGGAAGAACACCAGUGGCGAAGGCGCUCUGCUGGGCCAUUACUGACGCUCAUGGACGAAAGCCAGGGGAGCGAAAGGGAUUAGAUACCCCUGUAGUCCUGGCCGUAAACGAUGAACACUAGGUGUCGGGGGAAUCGACCCNUUCGGUGUCGUAGCUAACGCGUUAAGUGUUCCGCCUGGGGAGUACGCACGCAAGUGUGAAACUCAAAGGAAUUGACGGGGGCCCGCACAAGCGGUGGAGUAUGUGGUUUAAUUCGAUGCAACGCGAAGAACCUUACCAGGGUUUGACAUCCUGCGAACCUCUUAGAAAUUUGAGGGUGCCUUCGGGAAUGCAGUGACAGGUGGUGCAUGGCUGUCGUCAGCUCGUGUCGUGAGAUGUUGGGUUAAGUCCCGCAACGAGCGCAACCCACGUUUUUAGUUGCCAGCAUUUAGUUGGGCACUCUAGAAAGACCGCCGGUGAUAAACCGGAGGAAGGUGUGGAUGACGUCAAGUCAUCAUGCCCCUUACACCCUGGGCUACACACGUACUACAAUGCUACGGACAAAGGGCAGCAAACUCGCGAGAGCUAGCAAAUCCCAUAAACCGUGGCUCAGUUCAGAUCGUANGCUGCAACUCGCCUACGUGAAGUAGGAAUCGCUAGUAAUCGCANGUCAGCAUACUGCGGUGAAUACGUUCCCG